rnacentral:lncRNA from 1 species
AUGCUUUGUACAUCUGAUAAUUGGCAUAUUGGGGAGAAAUGCCUUGCCCCUUGUCUUGAAAAUGGGAAACUUCAUGAAGGAACAAUAUCCUCUAUUGAAAAGGACAAGAAUGGAAAAUCAUUUGCUGUUGUAUCAUUCUCGGAGUCUGAAGAAAGGAAAAUAUUAAUAACUAAACUUUGUAGAGUCAAAGACAGAAGAGAACCCUGGAAAAGCUCAAUAUUUGAUGAUGGUGAUCUGGAAAAGCCUUGUUUUCCUGGCCAAAAUCUUCCGUCUCCUGCAGUUGCUUUUAAAUUAUCUGACAAUGGUGAUUUUAUUCCAUAUACAAUUAACAGAUACCUGCGUGAUUAUCAAAGGGAAGGAGUCCAAUUUCUGUAUGGACAUUAUGCUAAUAAAAGGGGGUGUAUUCUUGGAGAUGAUAUGGGCCUUGGAAAGACAAUACAGGUCAUUUCGUUUUUGGCUGCAGUAUUGCACAAAAAGGGAACACGUGAAGAUAUUGAAAAUAAUAUGCCAGAAUUUUUACUGAGGACAAUGAAAAAAGAACCAAAGUGUAACCCCAAGAAGACUUUCCUCAUAGUGGCCCCUCUUUCAGUGCUGUACAACUGGAAGGAUGAGUUAGACGCAUGGGGAUACUUUAAGAUCUCUGUCUUACAUGGCAGUAAAAAAGAUGAUGACUUGAGUCGCAUCAAGCAAGGGAAGUGUGAAGUUGCCCUUACAACAUAUGAGAUACUUCGCCUGUAUUUGGAUGAAUUUAACAGUGUAGAAUGGUCUGCUGUAAUAGUGGAUGAAGCACACAGAAUCAAGAAUCCAAAGGCUCAAAUAACUCAAACCAUGAAGUCAUUAAAAUGCAGUGUUCGCAUUGGCCUUACUGGAACCAUUCUUCAGAACGAUAUGAAGGAACUUUGGUGUGUUAUGGACUGGGCUGUACCAGGACUUUUGGGUAGCAGAGCACACUUCAAGAAGAAGUUUUCUGAUCCAGUGGAGCAUGGCCAGAGGCACACUGCAACUAAAAGAGAGCUAGCAACAGGUCGUAAGGCCAUGGUGGAGCUAGCAAGAAAAAUGUCUGGCUGGUUUCUGAGGCGAACCAAAGCACUUAUCAGUGAUCAGUUGCCAAAAAAGGAAGACAGAAUCGUGUACUGUUACCUGACCGAAUUCCAGAAAGCAGUGUACCAGGCUGUGCUAGAGACAGAGGAUGUGAGCUUAGUAUUACAAGCAGGAGAGCCCUGCAGCUGCAACAGCGGCCGUAAAAGAAAGAACUGUUGUUACAAAGAAAAUGCUUAUGGUGAAACAAUUAAGUCACUGCGCUUCAGUUACCUGACAAUCCUACAGAAGGUUGCAAAUCAUGCUGCACUGCUGCAGACAGACAACACUAGCAAGCAGCAGGAAGCACAUAUCAAACGGGUGUGCAGCCAAGUGUUUUCCAGUUUUCCAGAUUUUGUGCAGUUAAGCAAAGAUGCAGCUUUUGAAACAAUUUCAGAUCCAAAGUACAGUGGAAAAAUGAAGGUCCUUCAGCAGCUUUUAAAUCACUUCCGAAGAAACAAGGAUAAAGUUCUUCUUUUCUCCUUUUCCACAAAGUUGCUGGAUGUGCUGGAACAAUACUGUAUGGCGUCUGGGCUAGAUUACCGAAGACUUGAUGGAAAUACGAAAUCAGAAGAUAGAAUGAGAAUUGUAAGAGAGUUCAACAGCAUUCAAGAAAUUAACAUAUGUCUUGUAUCUACAAUGGCUGGUGGACUAGGUCUUAAUUUUGUUGGUGCCAAUGUUGUUAUAUUGUUUGAUCCUACAUGGAACCCAGCAAAUGAUCUUCAAGCUAUUGACAGAGCUUAUAGGAUUGGCCAAUACAAACCUGUUAAAGUGUUUAGACUGAUAUCCUUGGGAACUGUGGAGGAGAUGAUGUACUUGCGGCAAGUUUAUAAACAGCAACUUCACUGUGCGGUGGUUGGAAGUGAAAAUGCCAAGCGGUAUUUUGAGGCAGUGCAAGGAUCAAAGGAACAUCAAGGAGAGCUUUUUGGGAUCCAUAACCUUUUCAAACUCAGGACUCAUGGGUCCUGUCUUACCAAAGACAUCCUGGAGAGGGAAGGGCAAGUAGAAGCAGGAGUCAUAACAGCAACUACGUGGCUAAAGGAAGAGACUUCUCCAUGCAGCUCAGAAAAGUAUGAACAACCAGACUGUAGAGAAGAUAGAAAUUCCGAAAGCAUUCAGGCACAUUUAAUAAGAGAAGAAACGGACUUUUGUGAUGACUUUAGUGAUGAUGAUAUUCUGGAAACUUCCAUGAAAAAAUGUGACAGAAGGAAGCCUUGCAAUGCAAAUAAUUCAGUGGUGACCAAGGGACAGCUUUCCUUAAUGCAGUGUGGAUUCUCUAAGUUGUUGCAGAGAGAAGUUGGAACUACCAAAGAAGAGGAGAAUAAUUACAACUCUCAUCAUUCCAGUUCUGAUGAUCAGACUUUAAGAACAAAUGUCAAUAGCAAGCACAGUGAUUUUCAGAAAUGUCAAAGCCAUGUGUCUGUUUUGGAGCAUGGGAACACUGCUCCGUCACCAGAUGGAACUGAUAAACAAAAUAUGCGUAGUACAGACUGGCUUGUUUUAUCAGGCUCUGAGGAGGAAGGGGACGUAGAAAGUGAUGAUCAAGGCAUUUCAAAGCACAGUGAUACAGUCAUGGAUAUUGAAAACAGUUCUGAAGAUGAUGAUGAUGUCAUCUUUCCUACCCAAGUUUCAGCAUGCCAGCAACCACUGCUUAGUAAAAAAGUUGAAUUAUGCAGGUCACCAUCUGUAAAUUUUGAAGAGUUAGCAAAAGAAAAACAGGGGUUUGUAUUUAAGGAAGACAGUAGGCAGUUUGGAUUCCAUAACAGUGAGUCAAAUUUCAGCAAAACUAUGUCUUUUGAAGACAUCAAGAACAGCACAAGAGAAUUGAAAGGAGCAAGUGACAUAAGUGAUGAGUCCGAUGAUAUUGAGAUUUACCAUAAUUCUAAAUUGAGAAAGUCAAGAACUUUUAGCUUUCCGAAAUGGAAAGAAAGAUAUGCCCAUAACAACAGACAAGAUAAUGUCUCAAAACCUCAGCUACAAACAAAGAAGCCCAAUAAAAAAGAAAAGGAAAGUGAUUCUCAGAAUAUAGAUGAAUUUUCAUCCUCUGAAGACAACUUGCCAGGUGAGAAAACACAUGCCAGAAAGCAAAACUAUACGCAUAAAAACCAGAGAGACAGAGUUCGGUUUGGGCCUAAAAUACUCUAUCGUAUUCAAGAUACCUCUGUUGCACAAAUGAAAUCUAGCAGUUACACUGUGUGUAGAACUUCUGCAAGUAAAACUGAAUUUGAACAUCAAGAGCAGAAAGUGGAAUCAAUGGACAGAUAUUUAGAUGGUGUCCCAGAAGUGGCAUAUAUUCAUUCAAAUCAGAAUGUGGUUGGAUCCAGCAAGGCUGAGAAUCACUUGAGCCGGUGGGCAGUACGAGAUGUAUUUGAGUUGAAGCAGUUUUCCCAGCUCCCUGCUAAUGUAGCAGUCUGUAGUGCCAAGGUAAAGAGAAAUAAGAACAUUAUGAAGGGAAGACGAGAAAUGUUGGCAAACAGUAAUCAACACCACCUGUAUGUUAUGCAUCCUGUGACCCAGAAAAACAAAAAAAUACACAAAGUAGGUUCAACCACCUUCUUGGUUGGGAGGACACCCAAAGGAAUCCGCAGGUGA